rnacentral:piRNA from 1 species
CAAAGUUGUUAGCUACGUGCUGUGUUCCU